CGGGGCGUAGCGCAGCCUGGUAGCGCACUUGCAUGGGGUGCAAGGGGUCGAAGGUUCAAAUCCUUUCGUCCCGACCA
rnacentral:tRNA from 3 species